GACUCUUUUAAAUCUAGAUCAAGUUCAUCAACUUCAUUACGUGGAGCCAGACCCAAUUCAUCAGAUGAAAUAAUCGAUGAUCAUCAAGCUUUUGGAUCAGAUGAAAAAAUCAUUCGAAACUUUUCUCCAAGUCGAUCUAACCAAGAAAUAAAUGCUAAAUCAUCAAAAUCCUCUAACAACCAGCAGACCCAGGAUUCUUCUAAAAAGUUGGUCAAGUCUUCCAAAAAAUCAGAAUCGGAAAAACAGGCUUCUGAUCGGACUCAAGGGUCAAAGUCCCCCAAACAGGGGUCCGCAUCAAAAGGUGAAAAUCAGAACACUGGGUUGGAAGGUGGGGACAAUGAGAAUAAUGGAAAACAGGUGAGUAUUGAGAUAGAAGUUACUGACACCUCAAAGGAAGUGGAACCCAAGAGGAGUAGAAGCACCACCCCCCAGUAUCUAGCACCCCCAGAACAAGACACAGCACCAGAACACAUUGUAAUGUCAUCUGAUGAAGCUAUGGUGGACCUGAGGAAGAGAGAUAGGGAGGCUCUCAAAACCAACAUGAUGAGGAUGUCUGCAAAAAAGUUGGAGGAGGGCCCGGGCAUUAUCAAGGUGGGGGAGAAGGCCAUUGACGACCACUGUAUGCAGUCCACACUGGAGGGGGAGCUAGGAGGGAUGGUGGAUAAGUUCAGACAGCUCAAACUGAGAGAGUUCUAUGACAUCAACAAGUUGUGUGCCCAUCAAGGAGUUUCCCUUAGUCCUACUCUGUUAGAGAAAGUCUUGCUAUACCCCCCUGACAUACCCCACUCAUUCAUAAAUAAACAAGUGAAAACCCCAGGGGCACCUCUUCUCUCAAGUCAUUAUGCUGACCCUCCCAAGAGGCCACGGACCCCGAUAGAGGUCAAACACAAAGAUCGAGUGAGGCGGUCCCAGAGUGGUAGACUUUUGAUUGACAGCAGGCACCGCUACCCCCAGGGUCGCAGUGUGGCUGCCACAGGCUCCAGGGCUAAUCUGUCCACAGGAAAAGCCAUCAUACGAAGAAAGGUCGAUUGCUGGAUGUCCUUUGAAGAGUACGACAGACUAACAAGACAUCUAGCCAUCAGAUACCAGCAGCUCCACGGUUCAUCUGACUCCAACGCCUUCUGGCCAGGACAGCUGCUGGAUAAAGUAAGGCUGUGCAUGCCGCCCUACGACAAACCGGAACUACCCGACCAGAGCGGAAUCGUGUUCCAGAAAGUGAAGGAGAGGAAGUUGACCAACCUCGGGAAGGCAAGGGAUUACUCGGCCUGGCCAGUGAACGACCAGGGAUACGUGCAGUCAGGGAUCUAUGAUCCCUUUGCUCGGAAGUUUAUUCACAAUUAUUGAUCAUAGCUGUUAAUUAGUGCCUAAAUUUAUGAAUAUACAUGAAAUGUGAUAUUCCUUGUUGAUUUUUUUGUUUUUUGGAUUUUUCUAAUGUUUUUUAAAAAAUUUUAAGAGAAGUAUUGUUAUUUAUGUAAAAAAAAAUUGGUAUAGAAUAUUUAAUUUUUUAACUUUUUUUAAUUGUUAUAAUGCUGUUUAUGCAUUGCUCUUAAAUUUGUUUGCUUGUCUCAUGAAAUAAGAAGUAACUUGUCAAAUGAAGGAUUCAAAAAGCAUUUAAAUGAGAGAAAGAGUGUUGGACACGAUGAUGUGCAUUGCACAACCAUAUCUGUACAUGUAAUUGUGAAGUGAAGUGUUUCCUUUCAUAAACCUGUUGAAAUGUUGAUGAAAAUAUGUAUUUGUAUGAUGAAAUCAUGCUGCUUUACACUGCUGAAUGAAGUUUUUCUAUCUGUGUACGGUGUGCUAUAUUUUACAUAUUGAUUAUACAUGUAAAUAACAUUUCUACCCUUAUUUUUGAUAAUUGAAGUUCAUGGAGGAGUUUGUCUUUCAGAUUUUAUUUUACAUUUUCUUUAUGCUGACACUGCUGAAAUAAACUUUUCAUUAAAACUGCAACUCUGUUAUACAGUGGAU
rnacentral:misc_RNA from 1 species